rnacentral:rRNA from 1 species
GGAAAGACCCCGUGAACCUUUACUAUAGCUUUACACUGAACGUUGAGUUCGUCUGUGUAGGAUAGGUGGGAGGCUAUGAAACCAUGGCGCUAGCUGUGGUGGAGCCAUCCUUGAAAUACCACCUGUCGUGCUUGACGUUCUAACCUGGGCCCAUUAUCUGGGUCGGGGACCGUGUAUGGUGGGUAGUUUGACUGGGGCGGUCUCCUCCUAAAGAGUAACG